CAAUUGAGGGCUUCGCGCAGAAGGAAGGACCCAACUCGCAAUUUCCCCAUUUUAAGCAAAGGUGUGCGGAUCCUGCCUGCUAAGCGGGUCAACGCGCGGAUCCUACCCCCUCUUGGAACGGCGCCAUUUUGCUUUACAGAUGAUUUCAAGCCCUUUUUCUUUAAACAUGACCCAUUUUUAAUUACUUUAGAGAAAUAGCAGCAACCAUUAACCCCUCAAUUGCUAGGGUUUCAUUUGACCCACUGCCGACGAGCCAAUGCUCGAUUAGUGGUCGACGCCGUGCGAUUAACAGCCCUUGUGAGAUUCGCUACCAUGGAGAUCUGGAACGGCCGUACGAAGGAGCGACCCUAGUGACGUGGAAGCCGAGCGUGGCAAUUUCUCACGAGAGGCUAACCUUCUGGUGCCAUUCUGGCUUACUUCAGAAGCUUCUGGCAUUCUCAGGAUGCUGAGAUAAUUUUUGGGUGUAUUGGGCUUCGGGUUUUAGGGCUUGUUGGGUCAUAAGUUAUUUUAGUAAUUGGGUUGGGUGGUUAUUUUACGUAACUAGACUAAUGGACCUUUUUUGGACCAAUGGACUUUUAUUAUUUUUGAGGUUUUUUUAUUUUUUUAUUUUGGUUUUUAAUUUCUAUUUUUUAUUCUAAUGGGCCCGGGCGAAAUGGGCCUAUUACACGAAGCAUUACUAGAAUAAAAAAAUACUUACUGAUUCAAUGCAUCAUAUAAAUAAAUAUAUUACCAUUCAAUCAA